rnacentral:rRNA from 1 species
AUUGAACGCUGGCGGCAUGCCUUACACAUGCAAGUCGAACGGUAACGCGGGGCAACCUGGCGACGAGUGGCGAACGGGUGAGUAACGCAUCGGAACGUGCCCAGUAGUGGGGGAUAGCCCGGCGAAAGCCGGAUUAAUACCGCAUACGACCUACGGGUGAAAGGGGGGGAUCGCAAGACCUCCCGCUCUUGGAGCGGCCGAUGUCAGAUUAGGUAGUUGGUGGGGUAAAGGCCUACCAAGCCGACGAUCUGGAGCUGGUCUGAGAGGACGACCAGCCACACUGGGACUGAGACACGGCCCAGACUCCUACGGGAGGCAGCAGUGGGGAAUUUUGGACAAUGGGCGAAAGCCUGAUCCAGCCAUGCCGCGUGAGGGAAGAAGGCCUUCGGGUUGUAAACCGCUUUUGUCAGGGAAGAAAUCUUCUGGGUUAAUACCUCGGGAGGAUGACGGUACCUGAAGAAUAAGCACCGGCUAACUAUGUGCCAGCCGCCGCGGUAA